GGCUGGUCCAGGUGCAGUGAUGUUUAUAACUAAUUGAUCACAACCAGUGACAGAUUCCUUUGUUCCUUCUCCACCCCCACUGCUCCUCUUGACUAGCCUUUA
rnacentral:Y_RNA from 1 species